CGAGACGAUGUCUGUCCGAAUAGGUGCCUCUGGUCAUCCUUCGGUGUGAAGGGCCUUCGCGUGCUGACCGCCUUGAGGGACCGCCGGGCUUCGCUUAUAAUCUCGGCGCUCGUCUUCUUCUUCGGACACGGGCUCAGGUGGAGAGCGAGCACGAGUAGCUGCGUGUGUCACGGGGUUCUUUUGCGGUGAUGACAUCACAGUGCAGCUGCUCCCGCCGUUUUUUACGGGUGUGACCUUCCGGAACGGUCGAGCUUCACAGACUUCAGGGCGUAUAGCGGCAACUCGUUAACACGUGAAAUAGCGGGCAGUUUGACGCUCAGCGGCGAGCACAGAAAAGCUACGCGGAGCGACCGGACACACUCAGCUGCGGGAGAUGAAAAGAACAUGCUGUACGGGACAGCGUUUUAUCGUACGGUUCCUGUACGGAAUGUCUGAGCUUCGCGCAGCACCAACACACAUGCAGACACCGGACACGGCCCCGCCCCGCCCCUUCGCAAGGAAGAGCGUCCUCGGACUCUCGUCACUAAAGGGGGUAAACUCAAGAAGGUAAACUCACCACUCGCAUUCAGUAAAAACAUUUUUUUUAAGUUUUUAAAAGUUGAACGGUUUUCAACAUAGUUUUCAAAUAGUGCCUUUGAUGACCUACAUGAUGAAAACUUCAGAAAUCUUCCCCAUGUCGUUACGUAAGGCAUGCUCACCUUGUAGACCUGCACGUUCAAUAUGUAGCCUACAUAUUUUAUUUUCGCAUAACGGAAAAAACAGCCUUAAGAUGUCUCCUUUACGGUCAACGGUUCAGGAAGUUAAAGCAUCUUCGGUGUGAGGGAACAGCAGGACAGGCGCGGUGGCCUGUGUCAGCCAGUGUGUGUGUGUGUGUGUGUGUGUGUCCUGACCCACAAUGCAUAGCUCACGUUUUCUCUGCCCACACUUCGCUCGUAAAUCUACAGCAAACAUUUCAAUUAGCACGGUCGCAUGACAAAGAAUCCUCUCUUAUGGCGGGAGAUUCCACUUUCAGUUCCUGGAGGGGUAUGACAAGUCCCACGCCACUCAGUCAUACAGCAUAUUUUGCAUAUCCUACUAAAGUAGAUUAUUAUUAUUAUUAUUAUCAUCAUUAUUAUCAUUAUUAUUGUCCAUUCUUCAGCACACAAACAAGAAACAGAAGUAAGCUAUUAUUAACCGAAACUGCACUGAGACAAACAACAACAACAAUGAUACUAAUAAAUAAUAAUAAUAAUAAUAAUAAUAAUAAUUUGUGUUAACCUUGGCAAUGUUUGCUGGUUGUAAUAGCUCAUUUCCGUCCUCUGUACAUUCAGUGUGCCGAGGAAGAAUGUCACGCAAACAGCUUUGUCUCUUCGCAGCUCUGUACCGCCAGAGUAAAAACGCGAAAACAAUGGCGGUGACCUACAUUCCAUCACAUAAAAUAUUAAUUUCACACUCGCGGGUGGGCUUAUCCAGACCGUUCCCCGCGCUUUACGAGAGAGUGCGCGCGCACUGUCAGACACGCACGGUUUCGCGCAUGUCUGGUCCGGAGGCCACACGGGCGCGCGAGGUCCUGCAUGGAUAUUUAACCGUCAUUAUAAUCCGAGCCCGCAAUUUGCCAAUAAAGCCAUUGUCGUCAUUGUCAUCCUCGCUCGGCAAACUUGAUUAGGCGCGUGCACAAAACGUAAUCAUCCGUUAUACUGAAAGGUAGCCGUCUGUAACACUAAAACCGGCAGAAGACGAAGGUUCCUUCAAAAAAAAAAGGCUGGCCGUUUGAAUGGGUGAAUCCAUGAUCUGAAAAUGUAUUUACAUAAUUAAAGGCUUAUAUAUAUUUCACCCUCAUCAACAGCUGCCCAGAUAAAUAACACUGGACAAUCCACUCAAGCUGAAGAAUCAUAAUUAUGAGGAAAAGGUAUAAUUUGUGAUUUUAUCCCACAAAUUAUCAGAACUGGUUUCAGUACUGACAUUGGUCCAAAAAAAAAUGUAUUUGCAUUUUUACAAUUGGCAGUUACUCUGAGAAUAUUAAUGCUCGUGAUAGUAAAAACUUACUUUCCAUAUCAAGGGACAGGAUAUUGCUAAAACCGCCCACAAAGACAGUAUAAAGAAUACAUUUCAAAUUUUACAUCGUGGGCAUACUGUACACUUUACUUUGUAUUAUUAUUUUGAGUUUUUCUCACACUCAGCAUUAUUCUGGGCAAAAAACAUACCCGUUUAGUUAAUACUCAGUUUUGUAAACUGUAGCCCACAUCAACUUCAUUUCUCUUGCGAAUAUGACAGACAUGACUUUUUUCUGAAUGAGCAAUGUACGAUGCCAGCUGCUACUCCGUUUAAUAAAUUAGCCCCCAUACAGUAUUUGUUAAUUUCCCCCCCUCCCUGCUUUUCCUAAAAUAAAAUGAAGUGGUACAGUACAGUACUGUACAGUCAGACAGCCCCUGGACGCAUAGUCAGCACGUCGCCCCUGCACCUGUGCCACAGGUAUGGCCGCCACGUGCUCCGCUAUCGCGCGAGAAUCGGCUCGCCGAGCCAGACGGACCAGCCGAGGGAACGCUGCAGCUCAGCGGAACUUCCCUGUGACCCGCGGCGGUGCAGGCAUGGGGGAGCGAGCGCUGAGCAAGACUGGCACAUUUUCCUCUCUGACGCGGCGGGUUUAUUCCACAGCCUACACACACACACACACCUUACACACUGUAAAGGCCUUACACACUGUAAAGGCUUUUCCACAGCCUACACACACACACACACCUUACACACUGUAAAGGCCUUACACACUGUAAAGGCUUUUCACAGCCUACACACACACACACACCUUACACACUGUAAAGGCCUUACACACUGUAAAGGCUUUUCCACAGCCUACACACACACGCUCACACACACACACACCUUACACACUGGAGUGUAAAGGCUUUUCCACAGCCUACACUGACACUCAGUCAGUCGAGUCCUGUGUGCCACUGGCCUAAGAAACCACGCAGGUUUUAAACUGUCAGCGUGACUGGUACACUUAUCUCUGUAUGUGCUUAGGAGGGUGGGGAGGGUUAAACGCGU